UCUGCGAUGCAGAAAGGGGUGCGGGUUGCAAAGGGAGUAGCCUCUGUUUUUUUGUUACUUAAGCAUGGGAAGUUGGAGUUUUCCUUUUGAUUCAUUUCUAGGAAGUCGGUGCAAACUGGCCCUGCCUCCAGACCCUAUUCUCCAGCAUGAAUUGCAUCUCAUCAAUGUCAUUUUCACUUUUGAUGAUGAAGGCUGAUUACCUUGUAGAGAGAGAAGUCAUAGGGAUGUUAUGUCCAUGGAGCGUGGCCUUAAGUGGACCUAUUUCUUGGGGUCUCCAGAUCUGUUUGGAACUUCAAAAUUAUUCAAGAAAAGGUGUCUCAUCAGCAGAAGACUGAACAGUUUUACCUAAUGGUAUCUUGAGUAGAAAUGUAACCUAGAAGAGUUUAUUGAAAAUCCUCCUGGCUGAUGCUUAUUUCUUGGAAUCCUGAGUCUUACACUUGCUACCUAAUAAAAAGAAGGAAGAUUCUUCUCAGCAAGGUGAGAAAACAGGCUGAGAGAAGUUGGAAGAAACACAGGAGCAGGGAUCCCACAUUAGACAGUCUGAUUCCAGAGAUCAGGACCUUGGCUGCAACACUAUAUGGGCUCUGGGAAAUCCAAGAGGCCUGUUUUCACCUGCACAGCAUUUCUACCUGCCCAUGAAAGGCAGACUUACGCACUUUGAUGUCAAAGACCAACCAGAAAGCCAAUAAGAAGUGAGAAAUCCUGUCUCCGUAGCCAAAAUCUCAUAUAAUUCCUCCCCAGCAAUACAGAAGUCUCUCUGUUGCUACCUAGAGUAAAAAUGUCAAUACACAUCAUGUAUUAAAAUUCACCUGUAUUUUCUCAACACCUUUUCGAUAUCUUUCCAAAUUGCUUUAGUAAUCUCUGGCAUCAAGAACUGGUAAGAGUAUGUGGCAUUUUCCUUCCUGUUUGAGUAACACCUAUUAAGAGAGGUGGCAAUUAAAAUCAAAUUGUAAUUUUUAAACCUUAAGGGAAGCUAUUGCAGUAUUGCUAAGAACAUUCAGUUACCGGUAUGUUAGCUAACACCUACACCCGCUGCGAUUAGCGAUGAAACAAACUUCUACGGACCUUAAAAAACCAAACGUCUCCUUUAAAAUAAUCAUCCUAUGAGUAAACAGUCCUGUUCACACAUGUAUAUGAGAUGUCAUCCUUUCUUUGCCGUUACAGCGCUCCGCCUUGCCAAUGCUGCUGAGCACUGACUCACUCACAGGGCAUUUGGAAGGUGGGCGAUUUGUUCCUGCAGCAUCAUUGCACUCCAAAUGUGCUGAGAAUGGAUGUAGCCUCCAAUGCUGCCGUGCCAGCAGCAGCUUAGAUCAGAGGGAUCAGCAGAGGCUAUUGUCCAUUCCUCAGCAAUGCACUUGACCUUGAGAGCUAUAUAGAAUGGAAGGAAACCCACUAAAGCCAAAUUCAUGUCCUAAGAUUUAUAUCCUUUUUAGGGAUCCCACCCCUGGAACGUAAUUCAGGUCCAAAUCCUCUUCUUCUCCUUUCCAACUGCCACUGCCUUAGAGUAGUGGACUUAUCUCCACCUGCACAUUUUAGAGUCACUUGGGGCAAGGCAGGGGGCAGACGUUAAAACAUACCAGUGUCAAGGUACCAUCCCAGAGACUCUAAAUUAAUUAGUCUGUGUUGUGCCUGAAAUGAGUACUUUUUAAUACCUCCCUAGGUAUUUCUAAAGUACAGCUAGGACUGGAAACCACUGGAGUCCAGCACAAGCCUUUCUCAUUUCUUUCCUGGUUUAUGGCAAAUGCCUCCUGAAUGCCCUUCAUCUUUUGUGCCUGAGGCUAAUCACCUUUAAUGUGUUAUAAUGAUUGAAUUAUUUUUGUAUUAAUCCAUGUUUGAUGUAGAAAAAUGAGAAAAUAAAAAGC
rnacentral:lncRNA from 1 species